ensembl:lncRNA
AUGUUUACAUUCUUCCCGAGGCAGAUCACGCAGCGAUUUUUAAGAAGUCCCCACGGAGGCACUAAGAGCACAGUCUCUGCUAUCGGCACAGCUCAGCACACAGGGACACGGCUACCUGGAACACGCCAGGAACGCACAGCCCCGGCACAGCAUCACGAGCACGGCACCGUCCAGCCCAGCCGCGCCGGGCAGGGCGAGGAGCCGGCGGGCACAGCCCCGGCACAGCAUCACAAGCACGGCACCUUCCAGCCCAGCCGCGCCGGGCAGGGCGAGCAGCCGGCGGGUCCCGGGGCGCUCGCCAGGAGCCCAGCGGCACCUCGGAGCUCUCCGUGCACACCUUCCCCAGGAAACUCCAAGAAAGCCGUGCAGGAGCGCCCAGCCGCGCAGGGGGAGCGGUGGGAUCGCGGCGAGAACACCACCUGCCCCGCUGCUCUCCGCCAGCGCCCCUCCCGAGCAAAAAAAACCCAACAAAACAGAAAAAGGAGAAGUUGUGCGUUUCGGGCACGGCCGCGAUGUGAAACCGGAAGGCUCGGCACGGCUCGGGGCCGCCCGCCCGGUUAUGUAAGGCACGGCGGGGGGGGGGGGGGGGGGGGGGGGGGGGGGGGGGGGGGGGGGGGGGGGGGGGGGGGGGGGGGGGGGGGGGGGGGGGGGGGGGGGGGGGGGGGGGGGGGGGGGGGGGGGGGGGGGGGGGGGGGGGGGGGGGGGGGGGGGGGGGGGGGGGGGGGGGGGAGCCCGGGGCCACCUACCGCUGCCACCUGCGCCAGGUGUCCCGCAGCGCCGCACCUUGUCCUCCGCCGGGCCCCAGGAGGAGCACGGGGCGCGGAGGAGAGGCAGAGAAACAAGCCCAAAGGCUGCCCGCCCUCUCGGGCACGGCCGCGAUGUGAAACCGGAAGGCUCGGCACGGCUCGGGGCCUCCCGCCCGGUUAUGUAAGGCACGGCCGCCCCGACGGAGCGGGAGCCCCGCGCCCCCCGCACGCACCUGCGGGGCCGAGCAGCACCCCCUGCCCUGCCCAGCACCGCUGCCCGCUCCGCAGCUCCCGUCCCGCCGGCGGGAUCCCUCCCGCAGGGAGCCCGGGGCCACCUACCGCUGCCACCUGCGCCAGGUGUCCCGCAGCGCCGCACCUUGUCCUCCGCCGGGCCCCAGGAGGAGCACGGGGCGCGGAGGAGAGGCAGAGAAACAAGCCCAAAGGCUGCCCGCCCUCCGCCGCCCCGGGAGGGGGGGGGGGGGGGGGGGGGGGGGGGGGGGGGGGGGGGGGGGGGGGGGGGGGGGGGGGGGGGGGGGGGGGGGGGGGGGGGGGGGGCAACAACAACAAACACGGCGGAGCGGAGCGGAGCGGAGCGCAGCGUGCGGGGCGGGCACAGCCCCGGACCCGCCGGCGGGGGGGGGGGGGGGGGGGGGGGGGGGGGGGGGGGCCCCGGACCCGCCGGCGGUGGGGAGGCUCCGGCUGCUCCCCUUCCCUCCGCGAACCGCCCGGAGAGAGGAAAAAAAAACCAAACAAAACCUCUAAAAAUAAUAAUAAUAAUAAAUUAGUAAAUCCCAACGCACCCGGCGUAUCCUCCUGGGCUGCGGCGCUCCGGGCGCUGCAUGCAGCGGGCGGGGGCAGCCAAGGUGAGAGAGGGCAGCGCCGGGAGCGGCGGCCAGGUGAGGGAGAGGCAGGGAUGGAGCAGGAGAGGGGGAAACCUCCGCUCCGCGCUCAGGAGCGCGCCUGGGUCCCUCCGCCCUCACACAGCCGCGCCUCCUCCGGCGGGAGAGCCGGGGGGGGGGGGGGGGGGGGGGGGGGGGGGGGGGGGGGGGGGGGGGGGGGGGGGGGGGGGGGG